rnacentral:misc_RNA from 1 species
CCGAGUUUACAACUCCCAAACCCCUGUGAACAUACCUAUACGUUGCCUCGGCGGAUCAGCCCGCGCCUCGUAAAAAGGGACGGCCCGCCCGAGGACCCCUAAACUCUGUUUUUAGUGGAACUUCUGAGUAAAACAAACAAAUAAAUCA